rnacentral:lncRNA from 1 species
AGUAGUGCCUUUUGCUCUAGCUAAGUAAGAGAUUAAGAAUGUUAAACCCAUAAUUCAACUCCUGAUUAGACUAUGUCCUUUGUCUUAUGUUUAUUCUUAAUCCCAUGAAUGCCCAUGAAUAUUCCGAUAAUAAUAUCAUUGGGUUAUUCCUUUUCUCCAAGUCUAUUGUAAUGUCUAUCACCUGUAAAAUUUAUACCUAAUAUGAUCUAGGAAUAUCCUCAACCUCAAUUAUGUUCUCUCUAUAUUCUUUAUUCCAAACAAGGUUAAUACCUCAUUGAAUUCCUCAACAUCUGAGUUUUAAUGUACCAGUUCUCAAAUGGACCUAACUAAUUAAGUAUUCCCUUAAACCAUUAGAUAUGUCGCAAACAGCCAUUUAUAACACAAUUCUCUUCAUUCAAUCAUAAUUGCUACCAAUUGCUAAGGAAUUCAGAAUAGCUUUACAUUGACUCCAAAUCAUAUAUUAAUGACUCUCAUCCUAAUUGAUAUCUCAAUCAUUCCAUGAGCAAAUUUUAAAUUAAUAAAUUACCAGAUUAACACACUUAAGUU